GUGGCUGCAUCAAAAACAAAAGAGCACAUAUAAUCAAACUGGAACAAUGUGGAGAAGAUUAGCAUGGCCCCUGCGCAAGGAUAACAUGCAAACUCAUGAAAGGUUCCAUAUUUUU